rnacentral:rRNA from 1 species
UCUGAAUCUGCGUACGGCUCCGCACACCAGUUGUAAACCAAAGCAAGCAAGCCCGGUCUCGACGCCUUUCGGGGCUAGAGGCCGGGCUACAAGGAUAACCCUGGUAAUUCUGAGGCUAAUACUUGACACAGAACCUGCCGACUGGGCCUCGGUUCGGGAAGCAGGGGAUGUGCGACUAUCGGGCCAACAAAACCGGAAAGAGCGCACGUUCAGACCACUUAAAAAGGCUUCGGGUCCUUCGGGAUCCGGGGCUGUGGCUCUUGCAGCGUGCUUCUGACCUAUCAACUAGACGGCAGCCUAAGGGACAUGCU